rnacentral:rRNA from 1 species
AGAGUUUGAUCCUGGCUCAGAUUGAACGCUGGCGGCAUGCCUUACACAUGCAAGUCGAACGGCAGCACGGGGGCAACCCUGGUGGCGAGUGGCGAACGGGUGAGUAACAUAUCGGAACGUGCCCUGGAGUGGGGGAUAACUAGUCGAAAGAUUAGCUAAUACCGCAUACGAUCCACGGAUGAAAGUGGGGGAUCGCAAGACCUCAUGCUCGUGGAGCGGCCGAUAUCUGAUUAGCUAGUUGGUGGGGUAAAGGCCUACCAAGGCAUCGAUCAGUAGCUGGUCUGAGAGGACGACCAGCCACACUGGGACUGAGACACGGCCCAGACUCCUACGGGAGGCAGCAGUGGGGAAUUUUGGACAAUGGGCGCAAGCCUGAUCCAGCAAUGCCGCGUGAGUGAAGAAGGCCUUCGGGUUGUAAAGCUCUUUUGUCAGGGAAGAAGCGGUGAGGGCUAAUAUCCCUUGCUAAUGACGGUACCUGAAGAAUAAGCACCGGCUAACUACGUGCCAGCAGCCGCGGUAAUACGUAGGGUGCAAGCGUUAAUCGGAAUUACUGGGCGUAAAGCGUGCGCAGGCGGUUGUGCAAGACCGAUGUGAAAUCCCCGGGCUUAACCUGGGAAUGGCAUUGGUGACUGCACGGCUAGAGUGUGUCAGAGGGGGGUAGAAUUCCACGUGUAGCAGUGAAAUGCGUAGAGAUGUGGAGGAAUACCGAUGGCGAAGGCAGCCCCCUGGGAUAACACUGACGCUCACGCACGAAAGCGUGGGGAGCAAACAGGAUUAGAUACCCUGGUAGUCCACGCCCUAAACGAUGUCAACUAGUUGUCGGGUCUUAAUUGACUUGGUAACGCAGCUAACGCGUGAAGUUGACCGCCUGGGGAGUACGGUCGCAAGAUUAAAACUCAAAGGAAUUGACGGGGACCCGCACAAGCGGUGGAUGAUGUGGAUUAAUUCGAUGCAACGCGAAAAACCUUACCUACCCUUGACAUGGCAGGAAUCCCGGAGAGAUUCGGGAGUGCUCGAAAGAGAACCUGCACACAGGUGCUGCAUGGCUGUCGUCAGCUCGUGUCGUGAGAUGUUGGGUUAAGUCCCGCAACAAGCGCAACCCUUGUCAUUAGUUGCUACGAAAGGGCACUCUAAUGAGACUGCCGGUGACAAACCGGAGGAAGGUGGGGAUGACGUCAAGUCCUCAUGGCCCUUAUGGGUAGGGCUUCACACGUCAUACAAUGGUACAUACAGAGGGCCGCCAACCCGCGAGGGGGAGCUAAUCCCAGAAAGUGUAUCGUAGUCCGGAUUGCAGUCUGCAACUCGACUGCAUGAAGUUGGAAUCGCUAGUAAUCGCGGAUCAGCAUGUCGCGGUGAAUACGUUCCCGGGUCUUGUACACACCGCCCGUCACACCAUGGGAGCGGGUUUUACCAGAAGUAGGUAGCUUAACCGCAAGGAGGGCGCUUACCACGGUAGGAUUCGUGACUGGGGUGAAGUCGUAACAAGGUAACC